GAUGAAGAACGUAGCGAAAUGCGAUAAGUAGUGUGAAUUGCAGAAUUCAGUGAAUCAUCGAAUCUUUGAACGCACAUUGCGCCCUUUGGUACUCCAAAGGGCAUGCCUGUUCGAGCGUCAUUUGUACCCUCAAGCUUUGCUUGGUGUUGGGCGUCUUGUCUCUAGCUUUGCUGGAGACUCGCCUUAAAGUAAUUGGCAGCCGGCCUACUGGUUUCGGAGCGCAGCACAAGUCGCACUCUCUAUCAGCAAAGGUCUAGCAUCCAUUAAGCCUUUUUUUCAACUUUUGACCUCGGAUCAGGUAGGGAUACCCGCUGAACUUAAGCAUAUCAAUAAGCGGAGGA
rnacentral:misc_RNA from 1 species